CCUACGGGAGGCAGCAGUGGGGAAUAUUGCGCAAUGGGCGAAAGCCUGACGCAGCGACGCCGCGUGAGGGAUGAAGGUCUUCGGAUCGUAAACCUCUGUCAGCAGGGAAGAACGGUCACUGUGCUAAUCAGCAGUGAAUUGACGGUACCUGCAAAGGAAGCACCGGCUAACUCCGUGCCAGCAGCCGCGGUAAUACAGAGGGUGCGAGCGUUAAUCGGAAUUACUGGGCGUAAAGCGCUCGUAGGCGGUAUGUCAAGUCAAGGGUGAAAGCCCCGCGCUCAACGUGGGAACUGCCUUUGAAACGGGCAAACUGGAGUGUGUGAGAGGAUAGUGGAAUGCCAGGUGUAGGAGUGAAAUCCGUAGAUAUCUGGAGGAACAUCAGUGGCGAAGGCGACUAUCUGGCACAUAACUGACGCUGAGGAGCGAAAGCGUGGGUAGCAAACAGGAUUAGAUACCCUUGUAGUC
rnacentral:rRNA from 1 species